rnacentral:tRNA from 2 species
GGUGAGAUGCCGGAGUGGCCGAUCGGGCCCGCCUCGAAAGCGGGUAGGCCCGCAAGGGUCUCGGGGGUUCGAAUCCCUCUCUCACCGCCA